rnacentral:sRNA from 1 species
GCGAGCUCAGAUCAGCGUGGGGCGGAGGAGAAGUGGAGUUUGGAAGUUCAGGGGCACAGGGGCACAGGCCCACGACUGCAGCGGGAUGGACCAGUACUGCAUCCUGGGCCGCAUCGGGGAGGGCGCCCACGGCAUCGUCUUCAAGGCCAAGCAUGUGGAGACUGGCGAGAUAGUUGCCCUCAAGAAGGUGGCCCUAAGGCGGUUGGAGGACGGCUUCCCUAACCAGGCCCUGCGGGAGAUUAAGGCUCUGCAGGAGAUGGAGGACAAUCAGUAUGUGGUGCAACUGAAGGCUGUGUUCCCACACGGUGGAGGCUUUGUGCUGGCCUUUGAGUUCAUGCUGUCGGAUCUGGCCGAGGUGGUGCGCCAUGCCCAGAGGCCACUAGCGCAGGCACAGGUCAAGAGCUACCUGCAGAUGCUGCUCAAGGGCAUCGCCUUCUGCCAUGCCAACAACAUUGUACAUCGGGUCAGUCUCAGCAUAGGCCGGGCAUGGGGUCUGGGGAGCUGACUUGGCUUGGGGAUGGGGCUAGCCCUUGUAAAAGGUGUGAUAAGAAGUUGGGACAGAGCUGGUCAAGGCCUCCAGGUAAGUGGCCAGGGCAUGGCCCUGGAGGAGGCGGGGACCGGGGCUGACCUGAGUGGUUAGACUGCCAAGCCCGCUUGUCCCAAGGUCCUGUGGGGGAUUUGGAGGGACUGAUGCUUCUUUUGGUACUCCCAGGACCUGAAACCUGCCAACCUGCUCAUCAGCGCCUCAGGCCAGCUCAAGAUAGCGGACUUUGGCCUGGCUCGAGUCUUUUCCCCAGACGGCAGCCGCCUCUACACACACCAGGUGGCCACCAGGUAGGGAGGGCCAGAUCCCUUCCAGUCCUUUCCGUGGGGAAGAGAUGCUUCUGGGCCUUUUCUCCAGACAUUGCUUGUGGGGCUGGGGUCACCUCCCCAGGCAUCCUUUUCUCAGCCCAGUGCCUGCCAGCCCUCUUCCUCGCAGGUGGUACCGAGCCCCCGAGCUCCUGUAUGGUGCCCGCCAGUAUGACCAGGGCGUCGAUCUGUGGUGAGACCCCUGUGGGUGGUCAAAGGGUAACAUGGCUCAUGGAUUUCUGCUAGGCUCUGAGGUCUCUGAGCUGUUUGGUGGUCUUUUCCCUGGUGGGAGUUUAGGCUUCCUUAAGGGUGUCUUCCCUG